rnacentral:rRNA from 1 species
AUUGCCUACGGGGGGCAGCAGUGGGGAAUUUUGGACAAUGGGCGCAAGCCUGCUCCAGCUCUUCCGCGUGUGGGAAGACGGCCUUCGGGUUGUAAACCACUUUUGUAGAGAACGAAAAGUCUGUUGAUAAUACCGAUAGAUGAUGACGGUACUCUAAGAAUAAGCACCGGCUAACUACGUGCCAGCAGCCGCGGUAAUACGUAGGGUGCGAGCGUUAAUCGGAAUUACUGGGCGUAACGGGUGUGCAGGCGGUUUUGCAAGAUGGU